AAAAAACAGUUAAAAGGGCGGCGGGAGAGAGGAGGGGAGGGGGGAAAGGAGGGGGCUGGCUCUUGCUUAAACUCUUGAAACACUAGGAUUGGUUGGUUCAGGAAAAUGAAUUCUAUGACGCUGUUGUAAAACCACCUCUGAUUGGGCCGAUCCAAAAGCGGUGAUAACAAGCUGGAGAGUGUCAGAAGCAGAAAAUCUCCCUCAUUCUACAGAAAGACGGGCAAAGGGUUAAACCAGAAAAGCUGCCUCGUUUUACAAAAAGACUGCAAAGGUAAACAUUUUUUAAUUUUACCCUGAGCUUUAUUGUAUUUUUCUUAGCCACAUUUUUAUAGAGUUUUUACCCUGUGCUUACCGAACAGGCUUUCUCUUUGUCAAUUUUCCUUUUAAACCUCGUUUUUUCUUAACCUA